rnacentral:sRNA from 1 species
GAUCCGGUGGGAGGGAACAUCUGGAACAUUAGACAGGAUGCUGAUCUUCUGGACAAUCACACUUUUCCUGUUGGGAGCAGCCAAAGGAAAAGAAGUUUGCUAUGAGGACCUUGGGUGCUUUUCUGACACUGAGCCCUGGGGCGGGACAGAAAUCAGGCCCCUGAAAAUUCUCCCCUGGAGCCCUGAGAAGAUUGUCACCCGCUUCCUGCUGUAUACCAAUGAAAACCCAAACAACUUUCAAAUUCUCCUCCUCUCUGAUCCAUGAACAAUUGAGGCAUCAAAUUUUCAAACGGACAGAAAGACCCGGUUCAUCAUCCACGGCUUCAUAGACAAAGGAGAUGAGAGCUGGGUAACAGAUAUGUGCAAGAACCUGUUCGAGGUGGAGGAGGUGAACUGCAUCUGUGUGGACUGGAAGAAGGGCUCCCAAACCACCUACACACAGGCUGCCAACAACGUGCGAGUGGUGGGCGCCCAGGUGGCCCAGAUGCUCGACAUCCUCUUGGUGAGUCAGCUGGCUGGGCUAUGUGAGGAGGGAAGCAGUACCUGCUGGUCUCUGUUUGGUAGAGAUGCAGCUAAGAGUUAUGGAUUAAAGAAGGAGAAAGAAUUGAUACCCAGACCUUACUUCUAAAACUCUGAAAUUUGCCUUCAUAAUGACACGCCAGUGAAAGCAAAAAUAAGAAUCGCUAACACUUAGUGGUUUUUUUAAAAUCAUCUUCAAUUUACAGAUAAAGAAACUGUUUAACUAGAUAAACUAGUUAAACAGAAAGUUUAACUAGUUUACUCCCAAAGUCAUAAAGCAAAUGAAUAGAAGAGUUGCCUUUUGAUCCAGACCAUCUAGCUUCAGAAUUCACCCACAACACCAGGUGGGCUCU